GAUGAACGCUGGCGGCGUGCCUAAUACAUGCAAGUCGAGCGAACAGACGAGAGUGCUUGCACUCUCUGACGUUAGCGGCGGACGGGUGAGUAACACGUGGGUAACCUACCUAUAAGACUGGGAUAACUUUGGGAAACCGGAGCUAAUACCGGAUAAUAUUUAGCUUCGCAUGAAGCAAUAGUGAAAGACGGUUCUGCUGUCACUUAUAGAUGGACCCGCGGUGUAUUAGCUAGUUGGUGAGGUAACGGCUCACCAAGGCAACGAUACAUAGCCGACCUGAGAGGGUGAUCGGCCACACUGGGACUGAGACACGGACCAGACUCCUACGGGAGGCAGCAGUAGGGAAUCUUCCGCAAUGGACGAAAGUCUGACGGAGCAAUGCCGCGUGAGUGAAGAAGGUUUUCGGAUCGUAAAACUCUGUUGUAAGGGAAGAACAAGUACGUUAGUAACUGAACGUACCUUGACGGUACCUUACCAGAAAGCCACGGCUAACUACGUG
rnacentral:rRNA from 1 species